rnacentral:rRNA from 1 species
ACGUAUGGGGCAAGCGUUAUCCGGAUUUAUUGGGCGUAAAGAGCGCGUAGGCGGAUUGUUAAGUCAGAUGUGAAAACCGGGGGCUCAACCCGCGGCCUGCAUCUGAAACUGGCAGUCUUGAGUCUGGUAGAGGAAAGUGGAAUUCCCAGUGUAGCGGUGAAAUGCGCAGAUAUUGGGAGGAACACCAGUGGCGAAGGCGGCUUUCUGGGCCACGACUGACGCUGAGGCGCGAAAGCUAGGGGAGCAAACAGGAUUAGAUACCCUGGUAGUCCUAGCCGUAAACGAUGGGCACUAGGUGUGGGGGGUCAUCAACUCCCUCCGUGCCGCAGCUAACGCAUUAAGUGCCCCGCCUGGGGAGUACGACCGCAAGGUUA